GACGAACGCUGGCGGCGUGCUUAACACAUGCAAGUCGAACGGAAAGGCCCUGCUUUUGUGGGGUGCUCGAGUGGCGAACGGGGGAGUAACACGUGAGUAACCUGCCCUUGACUUUGGGAUAACUUCAGGAAACUGGGGCUAAUACCGGAUAGGAGCUCCUGCUGCAUGGUGGGGGUUGGAAAGUUUCGGCGGUUGGGGAUGGACUCGCGGCUUAUCAGCUUGUUGGUGGGGUAGUGGCUUACCAAGGCUUUGACGGGUAGCCGGCCUGAGAGGGUGACCGGCCACAUUGGGACUGAGAUACGGCCAAGAGUCCUACGGGAGGAAGCAGUGGGGCAUAUUGCACAAUGGGCGGAAGCCUGAUGCAGCAACGCCGCGUGCGGGAUGACGGCCUUCGGGUUGUAACCCGCUUUCGCCUGUGACGAAGCGUGAGUGACGGUAAUGUGUAAAGAAGCACCGGCUAACUACGUG
rnacentral:rRNA from 1 species